UACGUAGGGAGCAAGCGUUGUCCGGAAUCAUUGGGCGUAAAGCGCGCGUAGGUGGCCCCAUAAGUCCGCUGUGAAAGUCAAAGGCUCAACCUUUGAAAGCCGGUGGAUACUGUGGGACUAGAGUACGGAAGAGGCGAGUGGAAUUCCUGGUGUAGCGGUGGAAUGCGCAGAUAUCAGGAGGAACACCAAUAGCGAAGGCAGCUCGCUGGGACGUUACUGACGCUGAGGCGCGAAAGCUAGGGGAGCAAACGGG
rnacentral:rRNA from 1 species